UGUGAGAUGUGUCUUUCACCUUCUGCCAUGAUUGUGAGGCCUCCCCAGCCACGUGGAACUGCUUCCCUCAUGGCUGCAAGAUGGCCCCCAGGAGCAGCCGGACAGAAUGCUUCCUAUUUCCGUCCAGCGGGAGAGAGACUCAGCUUCCCAGGGCUUGCUUUCCAGAAUGAAGAAGAUGCCUUCCCAAAAGCCCCAAGUAUUUCUAAUGCGCAGUGAGUGCCUCAGGGUUAGACCUUGGGCAUCGUCUCCAAAGGAGGUCACCUGCUCAGUGACAGGGAACCUGGCCCGACUGAUGACAACUGAUGACAACAUUCAUUGGGAAGCUUCACACCUGCGGCACA